rnacentral:rRNA from 1 species
UACGUAGGGGGCGAGCGUUGUCCGAAGUUACUGGGCGUAAAGCGCGCGUAGGCGGUUCUCUAAGUCUGAGGUGAAAGGUUCGGCGCUCAACGUGAACAGUGCCUUGGAGACUGGGGGACUUGAGUGUGGGAGGGGGCAGUGGAAUUCCGGGUGUAGCGGUGAAAUGCGUAGAUAUCCGGAGGAACACCAGUGGCGAAGGCGACUACCUGGCCUGUUCUUGACGCUGAGGCGCGAAAGCUAGGGGAGCAAACGGG